rnacentral:lncRNA from 1 species
ACAGACAUGGAAGUUAUGUCUGAAGUCUGUCUAAAAUGGAAGUUUGGAUGUGAGUUGUGGCUUGUGCUGUAAAAUGUAUGGGAUGGAAUCGGAAUAUAUUCUGUAAGUUGGAAUCUUUUGUAACAAUACACAAACAGAGAUAAGAGUAGGUUCUGUGCAGAUUAUAUUAGACUCGUGCUUUUUCCGCACAAAAGGCUAGGUACAAGACUGCUGGCUACGGACAAUGCAGAACAGUUUUAGGUGGGUCAAUCCUUGUGCAUCCACUUGAUUGAUGUCCGCUGCUGUUUUCUCAGGGUAAGGCAAAGAUAUAAGAUUUCCUUUUUGUGAAGGUUGAUGCUGCUUAUGGAUUGUUCUGUAAUUGAGCUGUGGCUUUGCUAAUUGCUAAUUUCUGUUUUCAUGCUCGCCAAUUUGCAAUUUAUGUGCUGCUUCUAAAAAUUAACAUGCAUAUUAUGACCUGGAUGCAUAUAUAUAUAUAUAUUUUCCUUCUUGUCAUUCUUCUUUAUUUAGAGCGACAAAAUUUAUAACUUUUUAUAAACCGUUUGCUAGUUGGUCACAGUAUUUGAGCGGAAAAUUUUUUGGCCUCUUAAGGAGAUAAACCGUUUUAUUUAGCUUUGCAUUUUUGAAAUGGCACCCUUCAUUAAACCUUUCUAUAAAUGCUUACGAAAUAGUAAUAGCAAAAAUUUGUUAAUAAUUAUCGAUAAUUUUUUUCAGGCUUUUAUUAUUCUAAUACUUAGUACUGCCUUUUCUUGGUAUGCUCUUCUUCCGAUAUUUACUCUUUUCAGAACUAGAUCUACGUGCUAAAUUAUCGAUUUUUGAUUCUUUUGUCAUGAUAAUUUGUUAUUUGUUGUUUGUAGGCCUCAACUUGGAUCCUUGCUUCUUUUCGCCCACCAAAUCUACAAGUUCAAACCCUUCCUGUUAUCUUCGGUUCAUACUGCUGGAUCUUUAUGGUUUGGAGGCCAACCUUCGCAGGGUUUACGGCCUCGAUAUCAUAUGCCAUUUGAAUGGGAUUCUUCCUGUAGCUUUCGUUGAAGUGGUCUGGUAUGCCCACAUCACGUUAUAUAGUUCUUCUGCCCACUUUCUUUUGCUGUUGUCUCACAUUUUGUUCAAACCGUAGAGUAUAGUAUGAUCGAUGACUUUUGCUGUUCCAUUCGUUUGGGGGUGUGCUAUUGAGGCAAAGUGCAUAUUAUGUUUAAAUUGUUGAA